AUCUAUUCCGCUAUAGCGGCCGGCACUCGACGAGACCGAGGGGAAGCCGCCAGUCUCCGCUGGUACACCGAACUGCGUGCUUGCUCUUUCCUCGUUCGCUACGUACGCGCUCUCGUCGCGCAGGCUGAGAGAAGGAAAACAGAGAGGACAAGGGAGAAAAAAAGUUGAGAGAGGGAAAAGACAGAGAAAGAGAGAGGAAACUCCGCUCUCGUAUUCACGAUCAUCUUGUACACGCGCGCGAUCGUGGCGUGUAUAUAUGCGUACACGCGUGUCGCGAAAUCGCGGGAUCGCCGGGAUACGUCUAAUAGUGUAACGCAAGGACCGCAGGAUUUAUCAGGACGUGUGUGUGGAGAUGCUUUAAGCGGCUAUCUCGAGGAGUAACAUCCGCAGCUGGAGAACGUGUUCGAAACUCAAGAGUAGAACAGAGAUAGAUCUCCACGGGCGAACAAUAAGAUUUGCUGCAUGAUCGCGCGCUGUUAUAUUCCUCUACGCUCGACAUCAUCCCUCGAUGGAUCGUCUCAUCGACACGGCGCGUUUGUCUUUUACUUUUACUUUUUAUCGUCGACGUUACCAGCGCUUUCAGAAUUGUUCGAGGGGGAAAAAACCCAAUUUUGCAAAUAAAUUCACCGCGCGAUAAGAACGCGUAUCUCUCCCGUACGUUUCUGGUAUUCAUCGUAUGCAAUCAAUCGUUGUUGAUAAGGUAUCUACUUCCUUUCGAGGAAAGUCGCGUAUCUAUCCGCAUUUAUUCC